rnacentral:rRNA from 1 species
UACGUAGGGCGCAAGCGUUGUCCGGAUUUAUUGGGCGUAAAGAGCUCGUAGGCGGCUUGUCGCGUCGACUGUGAAAACUCACGGCUCAACCGUGGAACUGCAGUCGAUACGGGCAGGCUAGAGUUCGGUAGGGGAGACUGAAUUCCUGGUGUAGCGGUGAAAUGCGCAGAUAUCAGGAGGAACACCGGUGGCGAAGGCGGGUCUCUGGGCCGAAACUGACGCUGAGGAGCGAAAGCGUGGGGAGCGAACAGG